CUACGGGGGGCAGCAGUGGGGAAUCUUAGACAAUGGGCGCAAGCCUGAUCUAGCCAUGCCGCGUGAGUGACGAAGGCCUUAGGGUCGUAAAGCUCUUUCGCUGGGGAAGAUAAUGACGGUACCCAGUAAAGAAACCCCGGCUAACUCCGUGCCAGCAGCCGCGGUAAUACGGAGGGGGUUAGCGUUGUUCGGAAUUACUGGGCGUAAAGCGCGCGUAGGCGGAUCAGAAAGUUGGGGGUGAAAUCCCGGGGCUCAACCCCGGAACUGCCUUCAAAACUCCUGGUCUUGAGUUCGAGAGAGGUGAGUGGAAUUCCGAGUGUAGAGGUGAAAUUCGUAGAUAUUCGGAGGAACACCAGUGGCGAAGGCGGCUCACUGGCUCGAUACUGACGCUGAGGUGCGAAAGCGUGGGGAGCAAACAGGAUUAGAUACCCGUGUAGUC
rnacentral:rRNA from 1 species